rnacentral:rRNA from 1 species
AGAUUGAACGCUGGCGGCAUGCCUUACACAUGCAAGUCGAACGGCAGCACGGGAGCAAUCCUGGUGGCGAGUGGCGAACGGGUGAGUAAUAUAUCGGAACGUGCCCAGUCGUGGGGGAUAACGCAGUGAAAGCUGUGCUAAUACCGCAUACGAUCUAUGGAUGAAAGCGGGGGACUCGCAAGAGCCUCGCGCGAUCGGGAGCGGCCGAUAUCAGAUUAGCUAGUUGGUGGGGUAAAAGCCC